AUCGGGCGGGUUUAGAGGGAAAGCGCUGGUACCGAGCCAGUAUAUAACUGUGUAAGUGACACGUAUGCAAGCAGGAGCCCCGGACCCACAGGCCUGUGAGGAAUAAAAGCUUUGGGAAAUGCACUUUGUUGAUCUGCAUCGAGUAGCUCUGAUUGCCAGGGUGUCCCACAUUGAUCCAAUCCUGGAUGGGCUGCUGAAUAAUGACAUCCUGACCCAGGAACAGUACGACACAGUGAGAAGCAAGGGAACCUGCCAGGAGAAGAUGAGGCAACUCUAUGACUGUGUCAGGGCCUGGGGGGAAUAUGAGAAGGAGAAGUUCUACGAGUACUUGCUAGAGUACAAUGGGCCACUCAUUGGGGACCUUGAAAAUAAUUAAAAGCUCCUCUGAGACUGCUCGGUUUUGGAUAUGUGGCCAAUUCAAAGUUGAAACAAUGUCUGCCAGCCCUUCAGCCAGCUUCUCUGGCCCAUAUUCUGAAUCUCAGCACUCCGGUACUGCGUUCCAUAUAGUGAUGCCUUUGGCCCAAACUCACCCAAUGUGGGAGACAAUGGCGCCAUAUUACACUGUUCAUGUUAUUUAGAUAUGAACAGCUGUAUCUUAAAUAAAACUGCAUUUUAUGCUAAUAUUA